rnacentral:rRNA from 1 species
CACCGCGGUUAUACGAGAGGCCUAAGUUAACAGACACCGGCGUAAAGAGUGGUUAAGGAAAAAUCAAAACUAAAGCCGAAUAACCUCAAGACUGUUAUACGUUCCCGAGGACAAGAAGCCCAACUACGAAAGUGGCUUUAAUUUUCCCGACUCCACGAAAGCUGUGAAA